rnacentral:rRNA from 1 species
GAUGAACGCUGGCGGCGUGCUUAACACAUGCAAGUCGAACGGAAAGGCCAGUGCUUGCACUGGUACUCGAGUGGCGAACGGGUGAGUAACACGUGGGUGAUCUGCCCUGCACUUCGGGAUAAGCCUGGGAAACUGGGUCUAAUACCGGAUAGGACAAUGGUUUGGAUGCCGUUGUGGAAAGUUUUUUCGGUGUGGGAUGAGCUCGCGGCCUAUCAGCUUGUUGGUGGGGUAAUGGCCUACCAAGGCGUCGACGGGUAGCCGGCCUGAGAGUGUGUACGGCCACACUGGGAACGAGAGACGGCCCAGAGUCCUGAGGGAGGCAGCAGUGGGGAAUAUUGGACAAUGCGCGCCAGCGUGAGGCAGGAAGGUCGCGUGGGGGAUGACGGCCUUCGGGUUGUAAACUCCUUUCGCUAGGGAUGAAGCGUAUUUGUGACGGUACCUGGAGAAGAAGCACCGGCUAACUACGUG